rnacentral:lncRNA from 1 species
GUUGCUAUAUGAUCUAAUCUCUUCAGCUCAAACAAGAUUACAAACUAUAUCUUCUAGAAAAGCAUGUUGCGUGUGAAGGCAAAAUCUGAUUUAUAUCUAACAACUUACACAACAUUAUAAAAUGGGUUUCACAAAAGAAUGCAAUCCAGAUCUAUGCUUGACAUGUAAAGUAAUGAGGAUGAGUCACAUCGAUUAUCCAUCUUAGCUCAAAGCCAGAUAUGUUCUGGAAAGUACAUUUCAUGAU